UCUGGUUGAUCCUGCCUGAACUGAUGUGUUUAUUUCAAAGAUUAAGCCAUGCAUGUAUAAGUUUAAUCGUUUAUCGAGAAACCGCGAACGGCUCAUUACAAUGGCCAUUAUUUACUUGAUCUUGAUUGUCUAAAUGGAUAACUGUGGAAAAGCUAGAGCUAAUACAUGCACUAAAGCUUUGUCCUUACGGAAAAGCGCAUUUAUUAGAACAAAACCACGCGGCUUCGGCUGCUUCUUGUUGACUCAGAAUAACUUAGCUGACCGCAUGGCCUUGUGCCGGCGGCGUGUCUUUCAAGCGUCCACUUUAUCAACUUGACGGGAGCAUAAUCGACUCCCGUGGUGGUGACGGAUAACGGAGGAUCAGGGUUCGACUCCGGAGAAGGGGCCUGAGAAAUGGCCACUACGUCUAAGGAUGGCAGCAGGCGCGCAAAUUACCCACUCUCGGCUCGAGGAGGUAGUGACGAGAAAUAACGAGACUGUUCUCUUUGAGGCCGGUCAUCGGAAUGGGUACAAUUUAAACCCUUUAACGAGUAUCAAGCAGAGGGCAAGUCUGGUGCCAGCAGCCGCGGUAAUUCCAGCUCUGCAAAUACAUAGAAUUAUUGCUGCGGUUAGAAAGCUCAUAGUUGGAUUCGUAUCGAUACCUUGGAACCCUUCUGGUGUCUCUAGGUGUUAUCGAUUUAUCGUAAUGUUCGGUUUUGAGUCCUUAACAGGAUUCUUAACAGGCAUUGCAAGUUUACUUUGAACAAAUCAGAGUGCUUCAAACAGGCGUUUUCGCUUGAAUGAUCGUGCAUGGAAUAAUAGAAAAUGAUUUCGGUUCAGUUUUAUUGGUUUUACGGACUGAGAUAAUGGUUAACAGAGACAAACGGGGGCAUUUGUAUGGUCCCGUGAGAGGUGAAAUUCUUGGACCGUGGCCAGACAAACUACAGCGAAAGCAUUUGCCAAGAAUGUUUUUAUUAAUCAAGAACGAAAGUCAGAGGUUCGAAGGCGAUCAGAUACCGCCCUAGUUCUGACCGUAAACGAUGCCAACUAGCGAUCCGCCGAUGGAAAUUAUAUUGCCUUGGUGGGGAGCUUCCCGGAAACGAAAGUCUUCCGGUUCCGGGGGAAGUAUGGUUGCAAAGCUGAAACUUAAAGGAAUUGACGGAAGGGCACCACCAGGAGUGGAGCCUGCGGCUUAAUUUGACUCAACACGGGGAAACUCACCCGGCCCGGACACUGUGAGGAUUGACAGAUUGAUAGCUUUUUCAUGAUUCAGUGGAUGGUGGUGCAUGGCCGUUCUUAGUUCGUGGAGUGAUUUGUCUGGUUUAUUCCGAUAACGAGCGAGACUCUAACCUACUAAAUAGUUGGUACAUACUCUUAGUGUAUACAGCUUCUUAGAGGGAUUUGCGGCGUUCAGCCGAAAGAAAUUGAGCAAUAACAGGUCUGUGAUGCCCUUAGAUGUCCGGGGCGGUGAGACCCGAAAGAUGGUGAACUAUUCCUGAGCAGGACGAAGCCAGAGGAAACUCUGGUGGAAGUCCGAAGCGGUUCUGACGUGCAAAUCGAUCGUCUGACUUGGGUAUAGGGGCGAAAGACUAAUCGAACCAUCUAGUAGCUGGUUCCCUCUGAAGUUUCCCCCA
rnacentral:rRNA from 1 species